UGAGAGGCCCCCCGCCGCGACAGGCCCAGGCUGCCCGGGACAGGCUGAGACCACCCACCCACGCCACCCAGCCACCUCUGGCAACGUCAAUUAGCAGGGGCAGGGGGAUCUGGCCAAUGUGACCACGACGCGAUCACUAACCAAUAACUUUGAGAUGACCUAGUGCAGCUAAUGUUUAGUCUCUCUGAACGCAGGAUUUACAGAAUCUGCAGUUCCUUAGCACAAAGCAACGUCUUUCUAAGGAUGCAACUGGAACCACUGCGUGGCCCAAGGAAAUACGAUUCACGGUCGGCCCCGGGAGAUCAGUGGCCACCACCCCCAUGAACGCAGGACGCUUGAGAUCCACACCGCAGAAGUAACUCCAGCUGUGCCCAGCUUCCCACUUGCUCUCGGUGCUGGGGUGGCUGGCUGCUUUGGUGGGGGAGGAGGGCAAUGUCUGUGUUUCUCUGAGACGAGGAGUGACACUCGGUGCGUGCAGCCGGAGGGGCCCCGCCCCGGCCCUGUGCCCUCCCACCCCUGUGGCAGGCAGGAAGGAGCCUGCUGGGCUGAGGGCUUUGGCAGGGCCUCCUCUGUUUCCUGCUCUUGGGGCGGCCAGGGUGGCAGGGGGCGGGGCGGCGUGGGCUGCCGGAGGACGGAUCCAGAGGCCAGGAGAAGCCGGCCCCGUGUCCUGACGGCUUCAACCAACGAGCACCAGUGUUUGGACAACAAGAGCUCCAAGGCCCCUCGGAGGAGAGCCUUCCGUGGCGCCGGACCACGCGGAGGAGGGUGUGCAGGGAGUGGCGGUGUCUGCCAAGAGGCUGGUCGGUCCGCGCCCGCGUGGCUCCUGCUCUGCUGGGCACUCGGAGCAGCGCCCGACAGCAGAGCCGUGAGCACCGCGGGGUGAGACUGGAGCUGAAGUCCUGGGAACCCACUUCCCCCUCUGCAGCCUAAGAUCCCUCAGACUCACACGCAGGCUCGAAAACGAACAGGCAAGGCCUGCGCGCAGGGCAGAGCGGCUGGAGGAAGGGAUCACGAGAAGCCGGCUCCUUCUGUGCAAAGUCACCGUAACCGAGUAAGAGAGGCACACCCUUCCAGAACCAGCGACCACACCAUCCCGCUGCGGACACCGGCGGACAUGACUUCCCAGCUGAUAGUCCCACGGCCUCCUCCCUCGAGGGGCCGUCUCCCCACCCGCCGCCUCCCCCUGCACCCUCCACGCCCGCCACACCGGACGGCGUGGCGCUCCCCAGCGAGCCUGGCCCACCACUGGACCGCGGUGCCUCUCCUCCUAGCGAUGAACCCUCACGGCCCUCGCUCAAGACGCAGGGUUACAUCGAACAUGGAGCCCUUCGGACUCCCUGUCACCCCACCCCGCCCCACCCGUAGGCGCACCAGGGUCCCCCCUGCACCCACGAGGGUCCCUGUCACAGUCCUGAGGCCCUGGACCUUGCCGACCCUUGUGUAGUUAUUUCACCAGGUGCUGGUGCCCGGAGGGUCCCUGGCACCUGCGAGGCCCUCGAGGCAUGUCUGAGGGAUAAAGGAACAACCUGACAGCCACUGGCUCGUCUCAGGGACAGGUGGAGGACAAGCGGUGACACCCGUGGGAAGGGAGGGGCACGUGGGGAGGGACAUCGGGGGACAGGAGCAUCGGUGGCAGCCGGCUGCGGGUGCCGCUUGCUUUUGACCUCCCGGAGCUUUACUUCGUAGUGUUUAUCUGGAAGUGAGAUGCUGCCUACCUCUCGUCUAUCACCGAUUCUGUGGUUUCUACGCUGCCAUGGCAACCGUGGCCUGGGACAAACAAAACAAAGAGAACGACAGCUUUCCUCCGGGAGCCACAGAAGAAAAACCAGCUCUGCGGUGCCGCCUCGCUGGGCCCUGAGAGUUUGAGACACGCAGUCCCGGGGAACCAGGAUGAGGAUCGUGGCCAGCCUGUCAGAUCUAACACCCUAGGGAAGCCCACCCCGGGCUCACGGCGCACGGACACGCCGAGGGUCCGGACCCGCCUCCACCUCCCCCUGCACCACGAGGCCUUCUGCUGGCUCGGCGCGGGCGCCGGGUUUCUUGCUGCCCCUUGAACACAUCGCGCCUUCCCCCCCUGCAUUCGGAGUCAACAUUAGGGCUGCCUUCAUCCUCGAAUGCUCUCUCGGAGGGUGUUUACAUGACUCCUCUGUCCUUCGAUUGGUUCAAGCUCAAGCGUGACCUUCUCCUACGGGUCUUCCCAGACAGACCUGCCACACAUAGCCCUUCCUUACCAGUCUUCGCGGCCCGGCUUUGAGUUCCCCUUCCCUGUCACCGACCACUACGAGUUCCUCUCCUUCUCCCACUCUUCCACUCACACGUGCGUUUGUCUUUGUCCCUGCAACAUGAGAUCCACGGGUGGGGGCGUUUUUUCAUGAGCCUCUCACGUUUCCAGUACAUUCGUCUGUAGAGCAAACACCCUGGAAAAUAGAGACAGAGUUUCUCCCCGGGGACAAAGAUCAGGACAGGCCAUCGCACGCGACAGAAGAUGGGGGUCCCCUCGGCGCAAGGCUUCCCACGAGGCCGGGAAUCCACAAGGUUGUUUUCAGUGUCUCUCGGAUCCUCGGCCGUCCGAAGAACGUUCGAGUCACAGGCCCAUGCGUGGCUAAGGCUGGCGGAUCGGCGGGUGAGCCUGGGGUGCCAAUCCGCCUGCAUUAACCUAAGUGUAUUUUUAAAGAGAUAAAACCACUCAUUUGUAUUAGUAAUAAAGGCAAAUGCACCCGACGACACUCCUAAAGGUAUUCUGUCGCUGAAUUCUGAUAGUUCACACUGCAUCUUCUCAUUCAAGUGCAUCAUAAUUUUAGAGGUGAUAGUAUCUGUUUUCAUGGAUGAAUGGUCUACAGCUGGGAGUGGUUACUACCUUCAUUUUUCACCCUCCAAAUGUUUAUUGAGCACCUCUUACGUCCAAAGGAUGGUGUUGCCUGCAAUGGAGUAGACGAGGAAGUGUAUCCUGAUGAGGCUCGGACACAGUACGUGCCUUUCGGAGAAGAGAGUGUCUGGUCGGGAAACGCUACUUUGUACAGAUUUGAGAAACAGACUGAGGCCACAUCUCCGGGAAGGAGUCCAACAGAUUAGCGAGUGCCCGUGAAGCUGAGACCCAAGGCCGCUCUGGACCAAGCUGGGAAGCCGGGAGAGUUUGUCAUUGGCUUGCCUCCUCCGGCAACACUGUAGAAGGGAACACAAUUCUUGCAUUGGUACCGACUGCUCCUGAGUGCUGAUUCUUGAAGCGCCCACUGUCUGCUCAUCCAUAGCUAAUCUGAUUGAUAAACAAACAGCCCAAAAAUCAUACUGUAAUGAGCUGCUUUUCUCUGGUAUUACGUGGUUAAAGUUGGUAGCCUGGGGCCGGCCCGAAACUCUCAGCCAAAGCGAUUCAGACAGUGGGAAUUUUGUUCACCACGACCCGCUUGUCCCCAAAAUACACUCUCCGCUGCGUGUUGCUAGGUGUUCACUGUCUCCUUCGGAUUCACAGAACGUUGAAGGUGAAAAGGACCUUGGAAGCCUCCUCACCUGACAUCCUCGUUUUGAAAUAAGAAAACUGAGGUGUAGAGAAGUAAAAACAUUUAGCAAGCAACUAAAAAAGCAACCACAACUCCUCCGAGGUCAGGCCUCCGGCCAGAGGCAGGCUCCCGGCACCAAGCUACAGGAGACUAAAUGCGGUCUCUUGAUGUAACAGCCCGAGUUCUUAGCAAUUUAAAAAAUCAUCACUUAUCUAUUGUUCUAAAAUAGCUCACUCUCUAAUUAAGAACUCGUGUCAAAGUGAUGGUUAGUGGGUCUCAUUACAUGAAAAACAACCCUGAAUAUUAAUUAUGAAGCAAUUAUACAGUAGCAUUUUCUCUCAAGUUACAUCAAAGAGAAGGCAAUUUCCACGCUAUUAAACAGAAACCCCAGUGGUGGCGUGACUGGUCUGGGGGACGCGCUCGGACCGCUGGCGUCCCCCUGCCGCCUUCGUCCUGAGCCCCAGCUCCCUUCGGGGGGCCCUUAUUCCAAACAACAUCCCCCCUGUGUCCGUCUGGAACUAGGAAAUUAAUCCACACUCGAGUCCUCAAAAAUGUCCCCAGUAACUCAUCUGCAUACAGAGAAACAGGGCAUCUAUCGCCGAGCACUUUCCAUCUGGCUGGGAAGCCUGGGACAUGGGCUCCACCCAAGGGCAGCGGGGUGAGCCCUGGCCAGGCGGCUCCCGUGGUUGGAGCGUCAUCCUGUGCACCAAAAGGUCACGGGUUCGGUGUCUGGUCAGGGCACAGACCUAGGUUGUAGGUUUUAGGGUGCAUACAGAAGGCAACGGAAUCAAUGUGGUUCUCUCUCUCACCCCCCACAACUUCCUCUUUCUCUGAAAUCAACAAACAUACUCUCAGGUGGGGAUUAAAAAGAGAGAGCCAGGGUGGGGGGGUUAGAUGCCCACUCAUUUGUCUCUGCAGGAGUUUACGAGCCGAUCUGUCCACCUUGGAGCAAAUAAUAGCAACAGUCCAACAAACGAGCCGCCAAGCUUUGGACUUGCCUCAAGCCUCUGCCUGGCAUUUCCCCUCCCCUCCGACCGAGUACUGACGGUGCUGACCUUUUCAGGAAUCUGCUUCUGACAACAGCGGGGCAGCGGCCGAGUUCCAAGGCUGCAGCCCGAGGUGGGCAGGCCACGAAGGUCACUGCUGCUUCAAACCUAAGAGCGAUCGGGGGCCCGGGAGCAGCCAAGGCCGAGUCGGGGGAAGAGCCCCGCUGCCUCCCCGACACCGCGGUGCCCCUGCCGUCCCCAGUGGGCUCUCUUCCUGGAGUCUGCAGACUCAGCUGCCCGUUGGGGCCUGCGGACGCCGAGAGAGUGCUGUCGGGCAUUUCACCGUGACAUCGAGUCUUAGGUUUGAAAGAGGCCUUACCUCUCAUGUCCUCAAACUUCCAAGAGUAGUGUGAACUCAGGGCCUGCUUAGAUGCUCCCAGGGGAUGGGGAGCUCAGUCCCUGGCACAGUCGAGCGAGGAUUCCGGCCACCUGCAUGCAGAGGGCGUCUGAGACACCCUCGGCUGCCACCUCCAGGCCGCCUGCAGUGACCCGACUACUGACAUCCUAACCUGGCCCUUCGGAGCUGCGUCUCGGAGCUGCUUGCUCACGCCUAGCACACCGCGGACAACAGACCUCACCGCCCGCGCUCGCUGCGGUCCGCACAUAAACGCCGAUGUCCCAACUUCCUUACAAACUAGCAGAACCACUGGCCGCAUCGGCAUGUACACCCCUCGUGACCCUCAUGUGUCUCGUUCUUUCGUUCUUUAACAGCUGACUGACAAGCAUAAUAAAGGAGUCUGUUCUAAGGAACUGAUGAUUAACAAUGAUCAAUCAUGGUAACUCCCCCCAAAUAACAUGUUUGCCCAUUUGCUGGUUUCUUCAACCUUCAACUCUAAGCAGUCCUUACAGUGGGAAGGGCAGGUCAGUGCGUAAGGCGCGCGGGCUGGGCUUGCCGCCACAUUCCCGAAACCUCCCCGCACCCCUCUCCUGGCCCGAGAGUCCGAGACCACCCUGCCGGGAUCUCUGACCAGCUCCGAGGGGACUCAAGGCGGCACUCUGCCCCGGGGAAGAUACGGCGCUUCCGCAGAGGCCUGCCGUCCAGCCGGAUCCCGACUCCGCUAAAUGGACUGUAUUUGUGGAAAUGCGUCCACGACCGCACAUAAGCAUUUCUGCCGCUGGGAGGCUCCACCUACACGAUGACUCCGAUUCCUAGGUUCACCCUCUGAUGGGAAAGCUCGCGCCUCAAAGAGACCAUGAACCAACCUCAGAACAGGGCCGCCUGCCCUUGCUGGACGUGGACCAGACGUUGGGGCAGGAAGACAGGAUGUGUCCAGCCUGUUCUGGCUGCUGUAACAAAACAACACAGACCCAGUAGCUUAUCAACAGCAGGAAUGUAGUCCUCCCCGUCCUGGAGACUGGAUGCCCAAGACCAGGCUGCCGGCGUGGAUGAGCGAGGGCCCUCGUGGGCUGCCAACUCCAGAACCCAGAGACAUUGAACUUCUGUGGUCUAAGCCGCCCUGUCCCGGCAGCCCCGGGAGAGGAAGACCGCAGGUGAACUUGAGGGAACAGGCUCCGGAGGGAGACUCUGGCGCUGGUGUGCUGUGCUCGGGACACAUGGAGGCAGGGACCCGGGUUUCCGGAGAGCGCCCCGCAGAGCUCCGCGCUGUGGGGAGGACUCUUCCUUUCCCAGAUGCCAGCAGCCCCACCCUGCACCCGGCCUGAGGGCACAUUUCUCUGUUGCCAUGACAACAGAAGAGGUCAGACCAUUCAGGUGCCCUCUCUCUUCUGCCAAGAGGCCACCGUGAGGGCUCAGAAAUUCUCCCGUGUCACAAAUAGCCUUGCUUUCUUUUCCAGGAUGAAUUUCCACCCUAAAGUAAAUAAGCCAUAACCUUCUCUUUUGCCCUCGUUUCAAGGUGACGGUCCAUUGCUAGUAGCAGAAACACCUCGACGCGCCUUGGAAAGUUUAUCAGGAUGUGCCAGGUUAGGCUGACUAAGGAGCGGGCUCUGCUUCUCCGCAGUGCACAGGCAGGGGACACCUCAGGCUCUGAGCGAGUAAACGCACCUCCUAACCUACCCGAUACCGCCCACACGCGCCCCCCAGCCCCCCAGCCCCUCCACACCGCCACAGGCAUCCCCGCGGGAGCUCAGGUGUCAGACUUCAGGACACCUGUUUUACCGCCACGCAGGGCGUCACUUCGCAAAGGGAACAGGAAACACAUGCUCUUCGCCCCUGUGUCCAUAAAGCACAGGAACAGGCAGGGAUUCAGGGC